UCAAUUCUUGAGCAAUUCACAAUGUCUAUAACUCUUUAAAGGAGGUCCUGGAUAUUGUGAAUUGCUCAGUUGAGCUUGUUUGUAAGCUUAGGAGGUACAUCAAUUAUGGUAUGAGCCUUUCCAGGAAGUGGAAGAUAGAACAAGAUUGUCACUGAAGUCUUCUUUACCGGUGUGGCUCAGGGUGGAGGACAAAAAGUAUCAGGAGGGUAUGAAAGAGGUUGUUAAGCUCUGGUUGGAUGUCAACUUUCCCUAAGACGAUGCCCAUUGGCAACAAGUCUUAGCACCUGGCCAUAAUGCCAUAACAACUCAAACUUUGUAUUGCUCGCCACUGGACUAUGGAACAUGGGGCUUCAUCAAGAGGAAGAUCUGCAAAGUCCCCCCAACGCAAUUUUGAUUCCUUGAAGACCUUUCGUUGAGAAGGAAUGUGCUAAUAUCUUAAAUGCCAACAUCAUCAAUGUAUAAAAGGCCUUUAGGCCCAGAUUGGAAGACAUUUGUAGAAAUAAUUGAUGAUAUUAUGAGAGGUAGAAUGCGUCAGUCAUAAAAGUUACCUGCAAGGAUGUCAGAACAUACAUAGAAGAAAACCCUUACGCACGUUCAAGGCCUAAAUAUAGGUAUAUUUUAAAUAUUUUAUUCCAAGGCUAAUGGAUAUCUUUUUAAGGAAUUAUGUUACGCCAUACAUAAAAGGAUAGUAGGUUCCUUAUUUACUUUCCAAAAGAGAAAAGUGUACGCGAAGUAUCUUGACGCAAAGGUUGGUGAAGUUACGUCAAUGUAACUAACAUAUAUCUAUAAUAGGCGUACAUUUCUGGACUUUAUAUCUUCUAACUGUUUUUAAUAUCUUCAUUAAGUAAAUGCAUUUGAUUAAACAUGGAAUGAAGGAGGGGAAAAUGCUAUCUUAGCCUCACUAAUAAGGAUGUAGAGGUGAUUAAUAAAGAAAGAAAAAGUUGAAUUUGAAAGUAUUGCUAUAUCUGAAGAAACUGAUGUUACAUAUAAAUAUCCGGCUGAAUUUCUAAAUACACUGAAUCUAUUCGGUCUGCCGCCUCAUCAACUUACACUGAAGGUAGCUAUUAUUGUUAUUCUUCUUCGUAAUUUAAAUAGACCUCAUGAGUACUGGAUUAAAUAUUCUAUAGUUUCAUGGUAUGCUGAUUGAAGCUAAGAUUAUUACCGAGUGAUUUUAUCAGAUUUAAAAGCCUGCAAUUGCCUUAAAAAUUGGCAUACAGUAUAACCAUAAACACUGUGAACGAAUUUGUGGAUGUCCUGGCUAAAAUGGGAUGCCAAAUGACUUAUCAAUCACAUAUAGAAGUUCCGCAGACAACGUUAGAGGUAGAAAUUAAAAAAAUAAUAACUGCCAAAUAUGAAUAGUAAUGGCAGAUUGAUCCAAGUUGCCGUCAAAUGAAACGGUUAUUUACAAGUCCUAAUCAUGGAUGAAAAUUGCAAUAGUCACUUAUUAGAACAUCUCUCAAAAUUUUGUGAGAUUUAUUUCUGGCCAUAUUUCAAUGAAAAUACAUCUAAAAAAUGGGAUUAGUCCAUGAGUACUCAUGUAGACUAUGUAAAGAAGGAUCAUAGUCUCUUAUCCAUUUCCUGACAGAAUGCAACGCUCUUGCCAGGGCAAGAAGAAGAUAGAAGGAAAAUUAUGAUGACGUUUAUGGGAGUAAAAGUGAUGUACAGAGUUUCAUCAAAAUUAUCUCGGGCACUAAACACUUUGAGGAUGUUUCUUAGACGAUGGCUGCUUGUAAUCUCCACGAUAAAAACUGUUUUAUUAAUUAUUUAUUUUUUAACAAUAUAUUAUUUAUUUUA
rnacentral:lncRNA from 1 species